rnacentral:snRNA from 1 species
AGGCGUGAGAUGGAUUUGGCUGUGACAUCUGUCACCACAUCCAUCGCCAGCACUGGUUGGGCUGAUGUGUGGGUUAGGCAAUGUGUCCUCUUCCUCCCUCAACCUCCCAAUACUGGGAGAGAAACUCUCAGAAAAGACGAUGCUCCCCAGUAAAGUACCCCUCUUUCAUCGAGGGUGUAGAAGCUCCUCUGCCUCCCGGCUCCAAACCCUCUCACAACACGCACUUACUAUGUGAGAGUUGCAGGUGAGUGAACAAGGCAAGCUAAAGAAGCCAGCACCCUUGUGGGCAACAGAAACAGCCCCCCAAG